rnacentral:rRNA from 1 species
UACGGAGGGUGCGAGCGUUAAUCGGAAUAACUGGGCGUAAAGGGCACGCAGGCGGGCUUGUAAGUGAGAUGUGAAAUCCCUGGGCUUAACCUAGAAAUAGCAUUUCAGACUGGGAGUCUAGAGUGCAUUAGGGGGGGGUAGAAUUCCACGUGUAGCGGUGAAAUGCGUAGAGAUGAGGAGGAACACCGAAGGCGAAGGCAGC